UGUGGAGCCAGGACUGAAACCCAGUCCUUUUGACUUAAAUUCAGUGGUCUUUCUACUGUUCCAUCCUGCCCCUCCAUUCCCAGUGGAAGUUGGAUUUCGAUUAUAAGGUUAUGUUAAUCAUUAGUUUCAGCCUGCUCGUACAAUUACAUUUGCAUCUGUUAUGUGCUUAAAACUCUGAGAAUGACCCGAAAUAAGAACAGUUUCUAUUUGUUACUUGUCAGCAGCAGCACUUCCCUCCCUUUAAUCUAAGAACCACACAUUUCUUUUCGCAGAUAAGAAUCCGGCCAGGUGGGACACUGUGGAACGUGGUAGCAGAUCAACUGGCAGCAAGGCUUCAAGGAAAUCUUAAUGAUAUUGGACAUUUCGUUUUUCCUGGUGUACAAGACAGAGUCAAAAGAUGAAAGUGGUGUUUCUGAUCACUUUCCUUUUGGUCACAGCUCACUGCGCACCAGUCCAAGAAUUUCAUCCUGCAAUUCUCUAUCAUCAGUUCUUGCACUGGAAGCAACUUCAGAGGUUAUAUAAACUCUUGAAUAACUGUAGGAAACCACCAAUGAACAGUAGAACUACCAUGGUCCCCACGCCACCAUUUCCACCAAUAACAGAAAUUGCUCCUCCUUUGACUUCUAACCCACCAGUCCCUCCUACCCCUGACCGGCGGGGAGAUUCACUAUUCACGAAGUUCUGAAGGAACUCAUUAGCCCAAUGUAGCUUCUCCCUCCAGGAAUUCUUUAGUACCACAGCUGAAGAUCAAAGACAUUAUCUGGCUGCUCCCUGUACCACAGUGUGCCCUUUUCAAUAUCCUGGAUAAAAUGACAAUGAUUCAUUAAAAAUGUUUAUAUCACUAUAUUAUGCCCAAGUGGAAUAUCAUUUCCCAUCAUUACCAGCAUUGUAAAAGAAGGAUGAGGAAAAUGAUCAAAGGAAUCUAGGAAAUAGGAUCUUUUUUCUCUGGCAAGUCAUAUGUUUAGCUAAGAAUCAGAGGUUCUAAAACAAAGGAAGAAAGGAAAAGCAAUUUGGGGAGGAGCACACAGCCUGCAGUUUCUGCCAAACUUGGGGAAGUGGUAGGUGACAGAAGGGUUCUGUCCCCAGCCUACAUCCAAGCCCUUGAAGAGACUCCUGGGAUGUUUCCAGCAGUAGGAGAGGGUGUUCUGGCCAUUUUAAUUCAGAAAGAAAUUGAUGAAGCCAUGAGGUAAUGCACUCAAAGUUUUCUUUUGCCUUAUUUGGGAGGCAACGUUCUAAGUUUCUCCCUAAUCUGUCUAGACAGAUGUACAAAGCAAAAAGAACAAGAAAGAUUUUACAGAUGUUAUCCAUUCUCCAUCUCUACAAAUAUGUAGUCCAGCUUUCUCUUUCGGGAAACAGAACAGUAACCUCUGCACCUCAGUUAAGAACAAUGAUCACUGUCUGUUAGUCCCUUCUGUUCCUCAGUGUGGAAAAGUCACUACAUGGCAUUCACAGGGGUCUUUGGUCUCAUUUGAGAAGUUUCCUACAGAGCCCUUCUUACAACUGGCUGCAACAUGGUCACACGUAGAAAUCAAAAGGAAUAGAGUUUGUGUAGGAGAGAACAUGCAUCAUUUCAUAGAAACCAAAGGCUCAGGCUUGGAAAGGACAUUAAAGUCUUCAGAAUCAACAUCCCCUGGGAGCUGGUUAGAAGAGCACCAGAGAUCAAGCUCCACUCCAGGUGAACUGAAGCGGUAUCUGCAUUUAAACAAGAUGCCUCGUGCUCCUCCACAACGUCACCAACUUGGAGAUAUCUGCCAGAAUACCUAGCAGCAGAGAGCUCACUGCAGGCAGGACGGCUCACUCCAGAAUCCUUCGCUGGGUAGCUUUGGUCUUGGAAAAGUGAUUCUCUGCAUGGAGUUAAAAUUUGGUCCUAGCUCAACUCUGGGGUUGCAUUGAAUAAAUCUAGUCUGUCUUCUCA
rnacentral:lncRNA from 1 species